rnacentral:lncRNA from 1 species
UUUUCUAUGGUUUCUUAAGCACUACAAUGUCAGUAUUAAGCGUCUGCAAUAGUAACAUAUAAACCACAAAGUUUAAAAUAUUUCCUGUCAAGUUACAGAAAGAUGUUGCCAAUCUUGUACUACAGAAUAAACUUCAGACAAACAAGAACUCAUUGGAGAAAUCUUAUCCCAGGGCCAAGAUGUCUACCCGCCUUCCCCUAAAUUCAUGUGUGGGAAUCCAAUCCCUCAGAAGUCUAUAAAAGGUAAGUAAGCUAAAAUGGGUUCAUUAGGUUAGGGCCAUCCUCUAAUAUAACUGGGAUCUUUAUAAGAAGAAAAUGGCAUAUAGACACACACAGAGGGAAGACUAUGUGAAGGCACAUGGAAAGGAUAGUCAUCUUGCAAGCCAGGGAUAGGGACUUCCGAAAGAACCAACUCCACUGACAACUUGUUCUGGGAUUUUUGCCCUCCAGAACUGUGAGGAAGUAAGUUUCUGUAGGCUGAGCUAC